CGAGUCUGAGGAGCUAAGGCUCCAAAGUGAUGCGUGUCAGACUUCCCAGAAAAGCCCGAACCACGUUAAUUUCUAAUUACCUGUACCCGAAACCGACACAGGUGGGUAGGUAGAGUAUACUAAGGGGCGCGAGAUAACUCUCUCUAAGGAACUCGGCAAAAUGACUCCGUAACUUCGGGAGAAGGAGUGCCUUAUUUAUAAGGUUGCAAUAACAAGAUCCAAGCAACUGUUUAUCAAAAACACAGGUCUCCGCUAAGUCGUAAGACGAUGUAUGGGGGCUGACGCCUGCCCAGUGCCAGAAGGUUAAAGAAGUUGGUUAGUGUAUGCGAAGCUGAUGACUGAAGCCCUGGUGAACGGCGGCCGUAACAAUAACGGUCCUAAGGUAGCGAAAUUCCUUGUCGGGUAAGUUCCGACCCGCACGAAAGGCGUAAUGAUUUGGAUACUGUCUCGGAGAGAGGCUCGGUGAAAUAGACUUGUCUGUGAAGAUGCGGACUACCUGCACCAGGACAGAAAGACCCUAUGAAGCUUUACUGUAACUUGAAAUUGGAAUUGGACUUUGCUUGCGCAGUAUAGGUGGGAAGCGUUGAAGAUAUUCUUGCGGGAGUAUUGGAGCUAUCAGUGAGAUACCACUCUUGUAAUGUUAGAUUUCUAACUUUGAACCAUAAUCUGGUCAAAGAACAGUUUCAGGUGGGCAGUUUGACUGGGGCGGUCGCCUCCCAAAUGGUAACGGAGGCGUACAAAGGUUUCCUCUGAACGGAUAGAAAUCGUAUCUAGAGUGUAAAGGCAUAAGGAAGCUUGACUGUGAGACCUACAAGUCGAGCAGGGACGAAAGUCGGUCUUAGUGAUCUGACGGUACUGAGUGGAAAGGCCGUCACUCAACGGAUAAAAGUUACUCUAGGAUAACAGGCUGAUCUCCCCCAAGAGUUCACAUCGACGGGGAGGUUUGGCACCUCGAUGUCGGCUCAUCGCAUCCUGGGGCGGUAGUACGUCCCAAGGGUUGGGCUGUUCGCCCAUGAAAGCGGUACGCGAGCUGGGUUCAGAACGUCGUGAGACAGUUCGGUCCAUAUCCGGUGUAGGCGUUAGAAUAUUGAGAGGAGCCUUCUUUAGUACGAGAGGACCGAGAAGGACACACCGCUGGUGUACCAGUUAUCGUGCCAACGGUAAACGCUGGGUAGCUAUGUGUGGAGUGGAUAACCGCUGAAAGCAUCUAAGUGGGAAGCCCACCUCAAGAUGAGUAUUCUCA
rnacentral:rRNA from 1 species